rnacentral:rRNA from 1 species
UGGGGAAUAUUGCACAAUGGGCGCAAGCCUGAUGCAGCCAUGCCGCGUGUGUGAAGAAGGCCUUCGGGUUGUAAAGCACUUUCAGCGAGGAGGAAGGUGGUGAGCUUAAUACGCUCAUCAAUUGACGUUACUCGCAGAAGAAGCACCGGCUAACUCCGUGCCAGCAGCCGCGGUAAUACGGAGGGUGCAAGCGUUAAUCGGAAUUACUGGGCGUAAAGCGCACGCAGGCGGUUUGUUAAGUCAGAUGUGAAAUCCCCGGGCUCAACCUGGGAGCUGCAUUUGAAACUGGCAAGCUAGAGUCUCGUAGAGGGGGUAGAAUUCCAGGUGUAGCGGUGAAAUGCGUAGAGAUCUGGAGGAAUACCGGUGGCGAAGGCGGCCCCCUGGACGAAGACUGACGCUCAGGUGCGAAAGCGUGGGGAGCAAAACAGGAUUAGAUACCCUGGUAGUCCACGCUGUAAAACGAUGUCGAUUUUGGAGGUUGUGCCCUUGAGGCGUGGCUUCCGGAGCUAACGCGUUAAAUCGACCGCCUGGGGAGUACGGCCGCAAGGUU